GACGAACGCUGGCGGCGUGCCUAAUACAUGCAAGUCGAACGCAGUGGGGACGGGUGAGUAACACGUGGGUAACCUCCCAUCAGAGGGGAUAACACUUGGAAACAGGUGCUAAACCGAUAUUGCUGGCUGGAGCCGCGGUGCAUUAGCUAGUUGGUGCGGUAACGGCACACCAAGGCCACGAUGCAUAGCCGCCCGGAGAGGGGUAUCGGCCACACUGGGACUUAGACACGGCCCAGACUCCUACGGGGUGCAGCAGUCUGGAUUCUUCGGCAAUGGCCGAAAGUCUUACCGAGCGACGCCGCGUGAGUGAAGAAGGUUUUCGGAUCGUAAAACUCUGUUGUUAGAGAAGCGGUAUCUAACCAGAAAGCCACGGCUAACUACGUGCCAGCAGCCGCGGUAAUAC
rnacentral:rRNA from 1 species